GACACCAAUGUCCUCCGUCUUCUUCUUCUUCUUCUUCUUCUUCUCGGUCCAGGCCGUGAGUUGAUGCUUUCAUCCGGGCUGCAUGUUUUAGUUGCCUUCCAGCCAAACACUCAAAGAUCCACAGAGACAGAGCGCACACUCUCACAUAGAAAGACGUGAGGAAAAAGUCCAUUUCACCUUGUUUCACUUUCAUUUCAGCCCAGUACGAUCCAGCUCGUAAGUAAAACAUCUUUUCUUUGAGCCGCAAGAAACAAAGCCGUGGUGAAGCGUCACUCACAUGGAGGUCUGAUGUGGACCUUUGUUACAAGUUUAGCCUGAAAAUCCCAACUUGAGCUGACUCCUUCACAAUAAAAGACCCUCCUGUGAGCACACGCAAUACAAAGUGUGGCAUAUCUCACGUUUGACAUGAGUCCUCAUGAUGAGGAUCAGCCAAAUGAGACCUCAAGUGUGCUGACUCAUCAAGAAGGUAUCCUAGUCAGGAAGUAGAAGAGCAGCACUCUGCUUCUUCAUGUUUCCAAGUCACACCUCAAAGAUCUGAUGUGAGUGACGAGGCACCUUCUGGAUGUUCUUCCUUCACCGUUUGCGUUUGUCCCGCAGCUCGCCACGGCGGCGUGGAGCUCUCCGAGAAGGUGGCGGCUGAAGGCUGAGAUGCUUUGUGCACUGGAACACAGAGAGAUGUCUCCAUCGCUGAGGGACGUCAUGGAGAUGUGCUUUGUUCUUCAUCCCACUGCUCCUCACGCUAUUCCAUCUAUUCUUCUUUGGCCGUUAAAAUACUUUCAACAUCAAACGUCGGUGGCUAGAAAAUCAUUCGGGGCUCACGUUUCAUGGCCUUGACAUCAUGACGAGGAUUUCUUCUUUCUUUGAAUGGCCGCUGCUUAUGAUCAAUAUCACAUUGUGUCACAUCUCUGUCAAUAAAUCCGUUUGUUCUCCA